AAGUGAACCGGUGCCAUUAAAUAUUAAAAAAAAAGGCCCAUAUAAAAGCCCCCAACCCUAACACAUUAGCUCAUUUAGCCGUUUCUCUUUCUCUCUCCUCCUCUCUUCCUCUCUUCCUCUUUCUCUCUCCUCUCCUCCUCUUUCUCGAUCUCCUUCUCCGUCCUCCUUCUCCGUCCUCCUUCUAUUUCUCUUCCCUCAUCUCCUUCUCCCUCAUCUCCUUCCAACAUGCAACACCGUCCUCACUUCUUUCAAUCGAUUUCUUGGCCCAAAAUAUUGCACAUAAUUGAAGAAUCAAGAAUCAAGAAUCAAGAAUAUUGAUUUAGAUGUUUGGGUUUUUUUUAUUGUGAUGUUGUAAUAUUUUCUUUUUGAUUUAUAUUGUAGUUCUUUUUUAUUUAUUUAUAUGUUGUAAUAAUUGUUUAAUUUUAUAAUUUGUAUAUUGUAAUUUUUUCUUGAUUAUAUACUGUAAAUUUCGGCUAUAUUCAAUGAUAUUCGAUUAAUAUGUUGUUGUUCUUA